GUGCCUACGGGGCGCAGCAGUGGGGAAUAUUGGGCAAUGGGCGCAAGCCUGACCCAGCAACGCCGCGUGAAGGAAGAAGGCUUUCGGGUUGUAAACUUCUUUUGUCAGGGACGAAGCAAGUGACGGUACCUGACGAAUAAGCCACGGCUAACUACGUGCCAGCAGCCGCGGUAAUACGUAGGUGGCAAGCGUUAUCCGGAUUUACUGGGUGUAAAGGGAGCGUAGACGGCAUGGCAAGUCUGAAGUGAAAGCCCGGGGCUCAACCGCGGGCCUGCUUUGGAAACUGUGCAGCUAGAGUGCGGGAG
rnacentral:rRNA from 1 species